rnacentral:rRNA from 1 species
CAGCAGCCGCGGUAAUACCGGCGGCCCGAGUGGCGGUCACUAUUAUUGGGCUUAAAGCGUCCGUAGCCGGGUUGGGAAGUCCUCCGGGAAAUCUGGCCGCUUAACGGUCAGAAUGCCGGAGGAUACUCCCAGCCUAGGGAGCGGGAGAGGCCGAGGGGAUUCCCGGAGUAGGGGGGAAAUCCUAUAAUCCCGGGAGGAACACCUGUGGCGAAGGCGCUCGGCUGGAACGCGUCCGACGGUGAGGGACGAAGGCCAGGGGAGCAAACCGGAUUAGAUACCCGGGUAGUCCUGGCUGUAAACGAUGCGGACUUUGUGUCGGACAAGCUAUGAGCUUGUCCGGUGCCGGAGGGAAACCGUUAAGUCCGCCGCCUGGGGAGUACGGCCGCAAGGCUGAAACUUAAAGGAAUUGGCGGG